rnacentral:rRNA from 1 species
CCUUCGGGGCUCCCUGGUGAUUCAUAAUAACUUCUCGAAUCGCACGGCCUUGCGCCGGCGAUGGUUCAUUCAAAUUUCUGCCCUAUCAACUUUCGAUGGCUGGGUCUUGGCCAGCCAUGGUAGCAACGGGUAACGGAGGGUUAGGGCUCGACCCCGGAGAAGGAGCCUGAGAAACGGCUACUACAUCCAAGGAAGGCAGCAGGCGCGCAAAUUACCCAAUCCCGACACGGGGAGGUAGUGACAAUAAAUACUGAUACAGGGCUCUUUUGGGUCUUGUAAUUGGAAUGAGUACAAUUUAAAUCCCUUAACGAGGAACAAUUGGAGGGCAAGUCUGGUGCCAGCAGCCGCGGUAAUUCCAGCUCCAAUAGCGUAUAUUAAAGUUGUUGAGGUUAAAAAGCUCGUAGUUGAACCUUGGAUCUAGCCGGCCGGUCCGCCUCACCGCGUGCACUGGCCCGGCUGGAUCUUUCCUUCUGGAGAACCGCAUGCCCUUCACUGGGUGUGCCGGGGAACCAGGACUUUUACUCUGAACAAAUUAGAUCGCUUAAAGAAGGCCUAUGCUCGAAUACAUUAGCAUGGAAUAAUAGAAUAGGACGUGUGGUUCUAUUUUGUUGGUUUCUAGGACCGCCGUAAUGAUUAAUAGGGACAGUCGGGGGCAUCAGUAUUCAAUUGUCAGAGGUGAAAUUCUUGGAUUUAUUGAAGACUAACUACUGCGAAAGCAUUUGCCAAGGAUGUUUUCAUUAAUCAGGAACGAAAGUUAGGGGAUCGAAGACGAUCAGAUACCGUCGUAGUCUUAACCAUAAACUAUGCCGAUUAGGGAUCGGACGGUGUUAUUUUUUGACCCGUUCGGCACCUUACGAUAAAUCAAAAUGUUG